rnacentral:lncRNA from 1 species
AACAAAACGAAGUCACUAGAGGCAAUGUUUUCUAUAUUUAUAUAUAGACUAGUAGUGGAUUUGAAAAGUGCUGUAUUGAUUCAUGUGCAAAUAAGGAGCAGCGGCCAAUGAAACAUUGCAAUUGUGUGAUGAGAGGUAUGUCAUGAAAGUUAUGCCUUUGUUUAAAUAUUUUUUUGUUUUCAGACUUACAUGUACAAUGUACAAGUAAAUGUUGAGGUCAUAGAGGUGACAAUUUUUAUUCUUGGGUUACUUUGAAAAUUUUAGUUUGAAAAUUAACCAUUUUAGCUUUGACAAAUUAAACUAUUUAUUUUAAUUAGUCAAUUUUAUAUAAAAUUGCAUUGGAAGCUCUCUUUACUCUACUUUACUGGUUCUUUUUAGCUAAUCUAGCCAAAAGGGCCAAAUUAACUUUUCUUUUUACUUGGUGUCUUUUUAUUAUUUUCUACGAAAAUCUUCUCUGAAACUACUACAAUGUACAUGAUGUAAUAAGCCAUAUUCAACUAAACUUGGUCACAAUCAUAAUAAGGGUAUCUUUGCUUUCUACCAUAAUGGCGCCUUUUGACGCAACCCCCUUUACUCUAUAAUGACGCCUUUAGAUGCCUGUGUAGUCCCUAAGUUGAAACGUAUUGCCUACGAAAAAACUUUAUCAGACUUUAAAAAAAUUGCAUGUUAUAUAAAAAGGAUAUUCAUGAAAAUGUCUUACUGGAAUUUUAUUGAUGAAAUAUUUCUUUUGGCAAUGCAUAAAUACAUGUAAUACUUUAAACCUGAUAAUUUUUUUUAAUGAAAAAAUCCUAUGCAAUCAAGUAUGUAAAAAAAAAUCCAUGGAGGAAAGGGUGAAAACAAAAUUGUCUGAUGACCCCACUUGCCAACCAAAGUCACAUGGCUGACAUGCAUAAAAAUAGAACACUAGUGUGAAAUGCAAGAUUUGUCAAUUAUUUUAAAAACCUUUAUAACAAAGAAAAUCUGAUAGAGGCAGAACUGUCAGACAACUUCUAAUAGGAUUUGUAGCUCUGAAAUGACAAAUUUGACCUUUGUUUUGGUUUUUGUCUAUUACACAUGUAUCUGUAUUUAAAAAACUUUUUUUUUAUAACAAUAUAGAUUGAGAGAAAUUUUAAAUUGCAAAAAAUUGAAAAAUGAUCAACAAGACAAGUUCUAAAAAUAAUAAAAUUGAGUUCGGAAAGGGAAUGUGUCAAAGAGGCAACAACUCAAACGUGUUAAUGUUAAGUUUAUGUGACAGUUUUUAAUAAAGUUUUAUACUUAGGACUAUCAACAUAAUAUCAAUGAUUAGUAAAGAAUGCGAGACAUUUCAGCAUGUGCACUCUUGUUGACAUAGGAGAAAUUUUUAAAGAUUUGUUAAAAUUCAUGAUUAUAAUUAGGUCAGUUUAAAAGAAACCAAGAAAUAAAUUACCAUGAACUUGUCAAUAAUACUUGUUAUUGGUUGAAGUAAGAUAUGUACUUCUCAUUUCCAUGGAGAUUAUAUAUUAACCAAGAGAAGCACAUAAACUUUGGCCUUGUCCACAGUCAAUAUAUUUCUCUUGAUAUAACUUUUUGUGUAGUUUUAAAAGUUGACUAUGAAAUAAUCACUUAAAAUGACGGGUGAUUUUUUACUAAUCAUAGGGACAUAAGAUGGGUACAUAAUCCUUAAAUCAGUGAAUUAUAAUGAAAUCAAUGUUUUAAUUGUUUUAAUUUUAGAGGUCAUUUCUCCACAAAAACAUACAUAAUAGUGAUAAAGAAAAGGGGAAAAUAUUACAGAGACAGUACAUGGACACCAGCAUGAGCAAGUAAAGAUGAGGUAUUAUGUUAUAAAGAAUAUAUAUAUCUAUAUAUAUAUUUAUAAAUGUUUUAUUAAGUUGUGACCUCAAGCAAUCAAAUUAUAUCACCACUAAAUGGUCCAAGGACACAGUUAUCGUCCUUUGGUUUUCGUUGUUUAGGAAUAUACAUGUAGUCCCUAGUGUAAACAGUGUAUAACUUGCAUGUUUUAUUUGAUACACUUUCCCAAUUUAUUUCUUGAUAUUAAAUGCAUGCAUAUUUAGUAGGGGGAUGUAAUAUCAUGUUAAAAAAAUUUGGGUGCUGAAUCUUUGGUGAUUUGUUCCAGUUCAAAAGGUCAAAAUUUAUACACGUCUGAAGCUGUCAUUCUGAAUUUUACACUACUCAACACAGAUUGUCAAUAUUUGAGUUUGAGCUGGUAGAAGUUUCUAUAAUUUUGAUAUUAUUUGUCUCACUGGUAGUACACUACACUGUAAAAAUCUUUUUGAGAAAUAACAGGUGCAAUUUUUUUAAUUGAAUUAUUGUCUAAAAAAAUGCACUACGAAAUAACUGUGUUUUCCCAAAUGAAGUGGGUGGUAAACAGGAUUUUCCUUGACCAAAUUGACAUGUAAACAUUAAAAAAUAACAUAGAAAAUAUUGAUAACAAUAAUCAAUUCAACAUUACCAACAUAGAAAUUCAGUAAAGCUAUCAAUAAGAAAGUGUCACAAUGCCAGCAUCACACUUCAGCUUAAUCAAAAUAAACAAAUAUAUACUAGUUCAGUGAUAAUGAACACCAUACUGAUUAUACCCCACGCAACGAAGUUGCGAAGGGUAUAACCCGUCAGUCCGUCCGUCAGUCCUGUUUCUUGUCAUCGCAACUACUCUCAAACCACACAACAGAAUUUCAUGAAACUUUGUAGAUAAUAAGGACAUACUAUGUAGAUGUGCAUAUCAAUAGGAAAUUACGGUUCAAUUAUUUUUCUAAGAGUUAUGCCCCUUUGAACUUAUUUGCUUCAAUGUACUUCUGCAACAGUUUUUCAUCUCAACUCCUCUGAACACACAACAGAAUUUCAUGAAUUUGUAGAUAAAGGACAUACUAUUGUAUAUGACAGGAAAUUUUAUUCAAUAUUUUUUCUUCUUAUUUUUUUUUCUAUACUUAUUUAAUUCUCCAAUGACAAUGUGGGACGUGGGGUAUGUGAGCGUGCUCACUAAGGUUCUUUAAUUUCCAAAUUGUACACAAGAAACUAAAAUUAAAAUAAUACAAGACUAACAAAGGCCAGAAGCUCCUGACUUGGGACAAGCGCAAAAAUGUGGCGGGGUUAAACAUGUUUGUGAGAUCUCAACCCUCCCCCUAUAUAUACCUCUAGCCAAUGUAGAAAAGUAAACGCAUAACAAUACGCACAUUAAAAUUCAGUUCUAGAGAAGUCCGAGUCUAAUGUCAUAAGAUGUAACCAAAGAAAAUAAACAAAAUGACAAUAAUACAUAAAUAACAACAGACUACUAGCAGUUAACUGACAUGCCAGCUCCAGACUUCAAUUAAAAUGACUGAAAGAUUAUGAUUUCAUCAUAUGAACAUCAGUCACAAUCCUUCCCGUUAGGAGUUUAGUAUCAUACCAUCAUAACAUAUAUGAGAAGAACAUAACCUGUGUCAUGCCAACAACUGGUUUUUGAAUAAAUGUGUUUAGUUCAGAUGCAAAGACCCUAUAAGUGAAUCAAUAUUAACGCCAAAAUAUGCAAUCUUUAAUGACCUGACCACAGUAUCGUAACUAUAGCCCUUCUUAAUAAGUCUAUUCAAAGGUGUUGUUAGUUAUUGAGGUGAUUACUUUUGAAUUUCUUUGUCCUCAACAACAAAAAAAUAAUAAAAUUUAAAACAUAAUUAUUUUGUAAUUUGGAUUAUCAUGAUUAUGAGGGGGUUUAUAUUAGUUAGACAAAACACAUAAACAUGUGUACCUAUAUGCUUUAAAAAUGACAUGUAUAGUAUAUCAAACAAUUAUAACUAAAGAAAGGUGACAGUUGAGGAUGCAAACAAAAUUGUUUCCUUUAUUAGUUAUAAUGAGUUAUUUGAGAAGGAAAAGGAUAUCUGUUUAAAUAUGUAUUCUGAUAUUAUGUGAUUUUCAAUGGUUUUUAGUUCCCUUCCUAUGGUCUGUCCAUCCAGUUUUCCACACUUUUUUAUACCCCAUUUAUCUGCAUUUUGUUUUUCGGUUUGUUCGUCGGUUUCUCAGUUUGUCUUUCUUCAGGUUAAAAUUUUUGGUCAAGGUAGUUAUUGAUGAAGUUGAAGACCAAUGAUAUUAUCUGUCUAAAUUUAAUGCCAAAUAAGAGUUUUGUUCCCAAUUUCAUGGUCCACUGAACAUAGAAAAUGAUAGUGCGAGGGGCAUCCAUGAACUAGUUUAUGGACACAUUCUUGUUUCUUCAUCCUUGAAGAUAUUGAUAUGAUAUUGUUUAAUCAUGACAUGUUAUAGAUCCAGUUUAAAUUUUGUUAUGGUCUGAUGAUUUUGGGCAUUAAUAAUAGUCCUUGGUCUUACAAAAUUCACUUAAAUAAUUAAUUUUCUACACUUUUUUAUGCCCCACCUACGAUAUUAUGCUCCACCUACGAUAGUAGAGGGACAUUAUGUUUUCUGGCCUGUGCGUCCGUUCGUCCGUCUGUCCCGCUUGAGGUUAAAGUUUUUGGUCAAGGUAGUUUUUGAUUAAGCUAAGUCCAAUCAACUUGAAACUUAGUACACAUGUUCAUUAUGAUAUGAUCUUUCUUAUUUUAAAGUCAAAUUAGACUUUUGACCCCCAAUUUCACGGUCCACUGAACAUAGAAAAUGAAAGUGUCAGUUUCAGGUUAAAGUUUUUGGUUAAGGUAGUUUUUAAUGAAGUUGAAGUCCAAUCAACAUGAAACUUAGUACACAUGUUCCCAUAUGGUAUGAUCUUUCUAAUUUUAAUGCCAAAUUAGAUUUUUUUUUUCAAUUUCACGGUCCAUUGAACAUGGGAAAUGAUAGUGCGAGUGCGUCAUCCGUGUACUUUGGACACAUUCUUGUUUAAUCAUGCUUGAAGAUAUUGAUUUGAUAUUUGUUAUAUAGUUUACACCAUGACAAGUUAUAGAUAAAGUUAGAAAUUUGUUCCAAUACAAUGAAAUUUAACUGGUAGGGGACUAUAUUGCAAUGCAACACUGACAGAAUGCUUGUAAAUAUACAGAUGUACAUGUAUCACUGUAAGUAAUAAUAAUAUUAACCUUAAUUUGAUUAUUUUGCUUGUUUUAAAAUCAAGGUAAAUUGAUAGUUAGUUGUUUGUUAUAAUAAAGUUUGCAUCUUGCUUUAUUUCAGAAUCUGCCAUGGAAAGAAACUGUUUAAAGAAGAAAAAAAAAGAUGAAGAAAUAGACUUUAACUUGUGUUACAUUUUAUUAUACUAUUAACAAAUUUUAAAAAUAUAUUCUGUAACCAAAGAUGAGAAUUUAUUAUCAAUCAUGCCAUUUGAAGGAAACAUGCAUGUAUAGAAAUUGGUUUAAUCUUAAGCUGAUGGGAUGGUUAAGGGGUUCUCAUCUUAAUGAUACAAUUUGUAAUCGCUCUUAAAAAUUCUAAAAAAAAAACAUGUCAAAGUGCAAACUGUAUAGCUGUAGAUUCUUUAUUGAUUGAAACAUCUGUAUUCAGACGAAAUGCCCAUAUGAUGCAAUAUAUAAUUGAUACCAUGAAAGUUUUAUUUCAAAAGCAUAAUUCACAUCAUGAUAAAAAUGAGAAUGAAAUUGGGGAAUGUGUCAAAGUGACAACCAUCCGACCAUAGAAAAAACAACAGCAGAAUGUCACCAACAGGUCUUCAAUGUAGCGAAAAAUUCCCACACCUGGAGGCGUCCUUCAGCGGGCCCCAAAACAAUACUAGUUCAGUGAUAAUCAUGACAUGUUUUGUUCAUAUAUCCUACAUGUUAUUAGAACACCUCAGUUAGUCUGAAAGUGCUUGCCUUGAGUGCAGGAGGUUAUUAAAGGUUAAAACAGGGACCGAGUCAAUGCAAAGACUUGAAAACUGGUAUAAGCUGCUUUGCUA